rnacentral:rRNA from 1 species
CCUACGGGUGGCAGCAGUCGAGAAUCAUUCACAAUGGGGGAAACCCUGAUGGUGCGACGCCGCGUGGGGGAAUGAAGGUCUUCGGAUUGUAAACCCCUGUCAUGUGGGAGCAAAUUAAAAAGAUAGUACCACAAGAGGAAGAGACGGCUAACUCUGUGCCAGCAGCCGCGGUAAUACAGAGGUAUCAAGCGUUGUUCGGAAUCACUGGGCGUAAAGCGUGCGUAGGCUGUUUCGUAAGUCGGGUGUGAAAGGCGCGGGCUCAACCCGCGGAAGGCACAUGAUACUGCGAGACUAGAGUAAGGGAGGGGGAACCGGAAUUCUCGGAGUAGCAGUGAAAUGCGUAGAUAUCGAGAGGAACACUCGUGGCGAAGGCGGGUUCCUGGACAUUAACUGACGCUGAGGCACGAAGGCCAGGGGAGCGAAAGGGAUUAGAUACCCCUGUAGUC